AGAUCUACCGUGACAUUCUUCCACCUCUUGUGGAAAAGGACAUCAGUAAUAAAAUGUCAGGUUUUUUGUUUUUUUUUUUUGCAGAGGUGAAGGCUUAUACUUUUCACCAAAGACAGCUAUUUUAAGGGUUGUCAAAAGCACUGGGGAAGCGACAAAGGAUAACCUCACACUUCAGCUGUGGUGCCAGCACAGGAUGUCUGCUGGAUGCAGUGCUCCUUGGCAUGUGUGUGUGCAAGUGCCUUACUGAAUAACAUCAUUUUCCCAGAGAUGCAGUUUUAUUCUGUGGUCUGCAAACAGUAUCUCUUGGCCAACAAUAAAAGAGA
rnacentral:lncRNA from 1 species